UGGGGAAUAUUGCACAAUGGACGGAAGUUUGAUGCAGCGACGCCGCGUGGGGGGUGUAGGCCUUCGGGUUGUGAACUCCUUUUUCUCGCGAAAAAGGCACAGUUUUGGCUGUGUUGAUGGUAGUGGGGGAAGAAGCGCCGGCUAACUACGUGCCAGCAGCCGCGGUAAUACGUAGGGCGCGAGCGUUGUCCGGAUUUAUUGGGCGUAAAGAGCUCGUAGGUGGUUCGUCGCGUCUGUCGUGAAAGCCAGCAGCUUAACUGUUGGUCUGCGGUGGGUACGGGCGGGCUUGAGUGCGGUAGGGGUGACUGGAAUUCCUGGUGUAGCGGUGGAAUGCGCAGAUAUCAGGAGGAACACCGAUGGCGAAGGCAGGUCACUGGGCCGUUACUGACACUGAGGAGCGAAAGCGUGGGGAGCGAACAGG
rnacentral:rRNA from 1 species